UACGUAGGGUGCAAGCGUUAAUCGGAAUUACUGGGCGUAAAGCGUGCGCAGGCGGUUAUGUACGACAGGUGUGAAAUCCCCGGGCUUAACCUGGGAACUGCAUUUGUGACUGCAUAGCUAGAGUACGGUAGAGGGGGAUGGAAUUCCGCGUGUAGCAGUGAAAUGCGUAGAUAUGCGGAGGAACACCGAUGGCGAAGGCAAUCCCCUGGACCUGUACUGACGCUCAUGCACGAAAGCGUGGGGAGCAAACAGG
rnacentral:rRNA from 1 species